UAAGGGAUAUUGCGACAAUGGGCGAAAGCCUGACGCAGCAACGCCGCGUGCGGGAUGACGGCCUUCGGGUUGUAAACCGCUUUUCUGAGGGAAGAGGAAGGACGGUACCUCAGGAAGAAGUCUCGGCUAACUACGUGCCAGCAGCCGCGGUAAAACGUAGGAGGCAAGCGUUAUCCGGAUUUACUGGGUGUAAAGCGUGUGCAGGCGGUUUGUCAAGUGGUGCGUGAAAGCGCCCGGCUUAACCGGGCGAGGUCGUGCCAGACUGAGAGACUGGAGGCAGGUAGAGGCGUGUGGAAUUCCGGGUGUAGUGGUGAAAUGCGUAGAGAUCCGGAGGAACACCAGUGGCGAAGGCGACACGCUGGGCCUGGCCUGACGCUCAGACACGACAGCAUGGGGAGCGAACGGGAUUAGAAACCCCGGUAGUCCAUGCCGUAAACGAUGCGAACUAGGUGUGGGGGGGGUGAAACCCGUUCUGUGCCAAAGCCAACGCGGUAAGUUCGCCACCUGGGGACUACGGCCGACG
rnacentral:rRNA from 1 species